rnacentral:rRNA from 1 species
GACGAACGCUGGCGGCGUGCUUAACACAUGCAAGUCGAACGGUGAAGGAAGAGCUUGCUCUUCUGGAUCAGUGGCGAACGGGUGAGUAACACGUGAGUAACCUGCCCUUGACUCUGGGAUAAGCGUUGGAAACGACGUCUAAUACCGGAUACGAGCUGAGACCGCAUGGUCAUCAGUUGGAAAGAUUUUUUGGUCAAGGAUGGACUCGCGGCCUAUCAGCUUGUUGGUGAGGUAAUGGCUCACCAAGGCGACGACGGGUAGCCGGCCUGAGAGGGUGACCGGCCACACUGGGACUGAGACACGGCCCAGACUCCUACGGGAGGCAGCAGUGGGGAAUAUUGCACAAUGGGCGCAAGCCUGAUGCAGCAACGCCGCGUGAGGGAUGACGGCCUUCGGGUUGUAAACCUCUUUUAGUAGGGAAGAAGCGAAAGUGACGGUACCUGCAGAAAAAGCACCGGCUAACUACGUGC